CAGCAAAGGAGCCGGGGCUGGCUGCUGGUGGUGGGAAGGCAGAGGCAGAAGAAUUAGCUAAACAAAAGAAAUCAUGGCGGAGCGCUUGCUUAUUUGAUGCCCUGAAAGGCUGUGUGGAUUAUGGACUUCAAAACCUAUCCCAAGAGGUGGCCAGAAACGUCGCCACGGCCCGGCUCACCACCUGAAAAUAGGAUCCCCAAGGAGCUCUCUGAAAUUCAGUCUGGUCUUUCGGCUGAAAAAUGUUCUCCACUCGUGGCUUGGAUCUUGCAACAUGAUAAUGGCAUCACCGUUGCACGAAAAACUUGUUUCUGA
rnacentral:lncRNA from 1 species